UGGGGAAUCUUGGACAAUGGGCGAAAGCCUGAUCCAGCGACGCCGCGUGGGUGAUGAAGGCCUUAGGGUUGUAAAGCCCUUUCACCGGGGAGGAUGAUGACGUUACCCGGAGAAGAAGCACCGGCUAACUCCGUGCCAGCAGCCGCGGUAAGACGGAGGGUGCUAGCGUUGUUCGGAAUUACUGGGCGUAAAGGGCGCGUAGGCGGCCUGUUAAGUUGGAUGUGAAAGCCCGGGGCUCAACCUCGGAAUGGCAUCCGAUACUGGCGGGCUCGAGACCGGGAGAGGAGGGUGGAAUACCCAGUGUAGAGGUGAAAUUCGUAGAUAUUGGGUGGAACACCGGUGGCGAAAGCGGCUCUCUGGCCCGGUUCUGACGCUGAGGCGCGAAAGCGUGGGGAGCAAACAGGAUUAGAUACCCGCGUAGUCC
rnacentral:rRNA from 1 species